AACGAACGCUGGCGGCAGGCUUAACACAUGCAAGUCGAACGCCCCGCAAGGGGAGUGGCAGACGGGUGAGUAACGCGUGGGAACGUGCCCUUCGCUUCGGAAUAGCCCCGGGAAACUGGGAGUAAUACCGGAUACGCCGUAUUGGAAAGAUUUAUCGGCGAAGGAUCGGCCCGCGUUGGAUUAGCUAGUUGGAGGUGUAAUGGACCCCCAAGGCUACGAUCCAUAGCUGGUCUGAGAGGAUGAUCAGCCACACUGGGACUGAGACACGGCCCAGACUCCUACGGGAGGCAGCAGUGGGGAAUCUUGGACAAUGGGCGCAAGCCUGAUCCAGCCAUGCCGCGUGAGUGAAGAAGGCCUUAGGGUUGUAAAACUCUUUCGCCGGAGAAGAUAAUGACGGUAUCCGGAGAAGAAGCCCCGGCUAACUUCGUGCCAGCAGCCGCCGUAAAAC
rnacentral:rRNA from 1 species